CAUCCGUUGGCCAUUUUGAACCGUACAUGGCUGACCAGACAGAGGAAGGAUCUGGCAUUCUGGGCGGGAGUUUAAACAGAUUUCAAGUUCUAAAGACCUGAUAUCUCCUUGCCUCAUCUUGGUUGGACAUACACUACAGUUUGAAUUUCCAUCAUACAUGUACAAGGAAAUAGUGAUGCUUAUGCACCACCACAGUUGAACAGGAUUAGCAAGUGUUGGAGAAAUUGGAGCACUGCUGUUACUCACAUGUUAUGCUGCAUGAGAAAAUAGAGCUCCUUCUUUGUCCAAAGGCCAAGGAGUUGGAUCCUGAAGAACCACAACCUCACAUCCACAUUGAAUACAAUGGGAGAAUUGAAGAUGUUUUGGCUGCAACUGGGAGAGUGAAGGAGUUUGCAAUCGUGGCUGAAGGAGAAGUAGUUGCUCAGACAAGUGACGUCUUCAAGGCUGUGUGCAUUGUGAUGGCAGUACACUAUGUGUUCAAUAUGAGUUACCACCCAAAGCUGAAUGCCUCAUUGAUAUUCAUCCAGAAAGUGAUCAUGAAUAUGAAGGAUAGUAGCCCAAACCCAAAGAAGGUUAUCAAAGUUUUGUUUCAGGUGAACUCCAAAUUAAAUGCUGCAGUUUAGCCAGUGAGAGAGUAACAUAAUGGUCAAACCUUUAAAGACCGUAUCGGAAGCGAAAAAUGAAACUGACAAAUUAUACCCCAAUGGAAAGCUUAUAAGCUACAGAAUACCACAAUGCAAGUUUCAUGCAUUUUCACCACUUACCAGCAGAGUAUUUGCUAUAGAAACGCUCAAAUUUGAGAUCUUCGAAAAUCGGCAUUAUUGCUCUCCGUACGGGCCUGAAUUCUCUGACGUCACGUUAUGAGAACGAAGUUGUGAUUACAUGUGUUUGCAUGUAGAAAAGUUUUAUUAUUUUUUUGUUUUCCAGAUUACAAAUUCGAAUUUUUUAAACAAUUUGCACAGGAAAAUAACGAAAGUAUUUCGUGCUUAAAUGGAUGAAACCUACAGCUGUAGACCAUAUUUUUUUUCUCAUUUCUUUGUUUUCCUCAUAUUUGGCUAUGAUUGCUAUGUCAGGCAGAACUUGCACAUAAUCUGAAUGCAGAUACAGAUGAAUAGCUACACUAAAUAAGUGGCAAAGGAAUGACCAAAAUAUGGUCUAGAGCUGUAGAUUUCAUCAAUCUAACAGGAAAUACUUUCAAUGUUAUUUUCGUGUGAAGAUCGUUACAAAAAUUUUGAAUUCGUAAUCUGGAAAACUAAAAAUUAUCGAUUUUUUCUACGUGCAAACGUAUGUAAUCACAACUCCAUUCUCAUAACAUGAUGUCAGAGAAUUCAGGCCUGUAGGGAGAGCAAUAAAACUCAUUUCAAAGAUCUCAAAGUCAAGUGUUUCUCAAGCAAAUACUCUGCUGGUAAGUGGUGAAAAAUGCAUGAAACUUGCAUUAUUGUAUUCUACUUCUUCUUAUCUUUCCACUGAUGCAUAGUUAUUUUGGCUUCCGAGAUGGUCUUUAACCUACACAAGUUGAUAGAAUGCUAUAGAUUGAUUUACACAAACGAUAUAUAAAUGUGCCUAUUAAAGAUCUAAUUUGUUUUUAAGUGUUGAUCUACAAGAUUUUGCACAGAAGUAUUUGAAAGGGGAAUAAAGAAAUAUAUUAUUGUGAAAAUAUGUGGUAUCCCUGUACUAGUGGGGCUGCCAUUUUGUUGAUAAUGUGAAGUAUUGCCGUACUUCUACCUUCAAUACAUGUAUCAUUUGGAAACGUUUUAGUCAUAAAGAUAUUUUAAAGCAAUGAAUAAAUUGAAGAUUUUUGAUAACAUAAAAUAUUUGUUAUUAAAAUUUGAAUUUACUGAAAAUAUAUUUUCAUUUGAGUUGAAAAUGAAAUAAAAAAUAUUUUUCUUCUCUUGGAAUAGUCUAAUUUCAAAUGAAAUAGUGCUUGCAUGGCAAAACAGAAACUAAUGUAUGCCAACUGCAUUCUGACUAUUGAAGUACAAAUGCCUUUAAGUAGAUGAGUGCAAUAGUUAGCACUACUGAAGCCGAGGGAAGAAGCAUCCAUAAAUUUGAAUACAUUUGGAGUCUGGCAGUACGUCACAUUAUCAACAAAAUGGCAGCUCCCAUUUAGUACAGGGAUAACACAUAUUUUGACAAGAAUAUCUUUAGUAUUUCCCUUUCAAUUACUUCUGUGCGAAGUCUCGUAGACCAACACAUACAAACAAAUUUAUCUUUAAGAAUUGGCAGUUGUAUUUUGGGUUGGAUUUCCCUUUAAUGUAACAUGUUGCGAUAUCUUGGUCAUGUAUUUCAGAGCCCCUUCAAGAAUGGGAGCCAGACUAUGCUCAGGUUUGCACAACUUCAAAAAUACAGAAGUAUAAGCCUGUUUUAGGGCAUUUGUUCUAGCCCCAGUAACAAUGACAGUCGCUCCCGUUUCUUUUUCUAACCCUGUAAUUAGGCUGUGAAUGACAUUUUACAAGCACUCUAAUCUUUCUUCAGAGUCGUUCUAAAUCCAUCCACCAGCUGCAGGCACAGUAAUCAUAACAUUAGAAAUCAGUCUUAGAAUGUUCCCAGAAGGUCCUACCCCUAACUGACCAAAAAUGUAGCAUCUUGAGGAUGUGCAGGACCCGAGUAAUCCAUAUCUGAGCAAAAGAUUUUAAUUUUUUUGACUUCUGGGCUCUGCUGAGCUGGAUAUAGCAUCAAGUCACAUUGCAUCAUGAUUUACCUACGAAGUAUGAACAUGUUUUUAAGUGUGUAUAUAAUUACUACAAUGUUGAUCUUUCUAAUUAGACUUUGAAUUUCGAUGGUUAAAGGUUAGACCUUUCUUUGAGCAUUUUACUUUGAGCAUUGUAAAUACAUUUUGAAGGCCAGAUGCCAGUUUAAAGGUUCUACAGAUUUUCCAAAUUGGUCCGUUAUUGCUUGAAAUGUAGAUGGUUAGGUCAAAACCAGCAUGAAUUUUCUCAAUAUUUUUCCAAAUUUGCUGUAAGCAGUGGUUUGCUUGUGCUUGAAAUGUAAAUGAUUAGGUCAGAUGCACUGGUAUGAAUUUCCUUUAGAUUUUCCACAUUUGCUAAGCACUGUCCUGAUGCUUGUUAGCACUUGAAAUGCAAAUGGUUAGGUCAGAUGCCUGUAUGAAUUUUGAAGAUUUGCUACAGACUGGCCUGGUAGUGCUUCAAAUUCAAUUGGUCAAUGAAUUUUAAAUUGUUAAGGAGUAUACCUAGUUAAUUGAUGCUUGUUACUGUAAGGGUGAUAUAUCAUUGGUUUGACAUACUUCUGUCUUGGCUAAAAAUAAGGGGGGGGGGGGGAAGAAGCCAUCUGUGAUACUGAUUUUGAUAGUAAAUAUGAUAAUGAUGCUAGCAAUAUUUUAGUCAAUAUUUCAAGCUUUGUAAAAUUACACUUGGAAAAUAAUAGCUCUGAUGAACAUAAUUGCAACUUCCAAUUUUGGGGACACUGAAGUUAAAGGUUUAUUAAGCAAUAUUUUGAAAUGAUUUGUCUUCAAAUUCACGGGCCUGAAUUAUCUGACAUUAUGCUAUGAAAUGGAGUUGUGAUUACAUGCAUUUGCACAUCUAUAGAAAAAAAAAUCGAUAAAAAAAAAAAAAAAAAUCCAGAUUACGGAUUCGAAUUUUUUAACGAUUUUCACAUGAAAAUAACAUUGAAAGUAUUUCCUGCUUGAAUUGAUGAAACCUACAGCUCUAGACCAUAUUUGUUGUCAUUUCUUUUUUUGCUGCUUAUUUGGUGCAGCUAUUUAUCUGUACUAGUAUCUGCAUUCAGAUUGUGUGCAACAGUUUUGCCUGGCAAAGCAGUCAUAGCCAAAUAAGAAGCAAACAAAGAAAUGACAAAAAAUAUGGUCUGCAGCUGUAGGUUUCAUCCAUUUAAGCACGAAAUACUUUCAAUGUUAUUUUCCUUUGAAAGUGGUUAGAAAAAUUUGAAUUCGUAAUCUGGAAAACAAAAAAAAAUAAUUGAACUUUCUACAAGCAAACAGAUGUAAUCACAAGCCCGCUCUCAUAGCGUGACGUCAUAGAUAUCAGGCCCUUGAGGACAGCAAUAAAGCUCAUUUUUGAAGCUCUUGAAUUUGAGUGUUUCUAUAGCAAAUACUGUGCUGGCAAGCUCUGCUGGCAAGCGGUGAAAAUGCAUGAAACUUGCAUUGUGGUAUUCUGUAGCUUAUAGGCUUUCCAUUGGUGUAUAAUUUGUCAAUUUCAUUUUUCGCUUCCGAUAUGGUCUUUAAGUUAAACAUGUUCAAAUUCAUCAAAAUGAAUAAUAUUUACUUGAAUAUCAGAUGGAAGAGUGUUUCAUUCUAAAGCACCUCUAUAUUGGAGUGUGCAUCUACCACAAUUGUUUUUUCCAAGAAGGAAGAACAAGAGAAUUAAAAGAUUGACUGAAAAUUUUUCCACUACCUGCAUUAUUAUGCAAACUUAUUUGAGACAUGUAUACCUAAACAAUGGAUUUUGAUUAUGCUUCUGUUCUCUGUACAUAUACUUCUCAGAGAAAAUUGAAUAAGCUAAUAAGUUUAUUGGUCUGUUUUUUUUU